UAUAAAAGAACAUCAUCUCAGAAGUCAGCCUCAAAGCUCUCAGAAGUGUGGACAUACUAAGUAUAAAAUACCCGACCACAGGGUGGAAAGGAAGGAAUCAAAGAGUCAAGCAGCCUGUCAGUGUAGCCACCAGCCAUCCAAAGUAGAAAUCUCCAGCUCUGGUGCCAAAGUAUACCUUUACUCAUCUCAUCCAGGCCAGUCAGAUCUUACUGUGCCAAAUUCGCCACCCACCCAUGAUCCGGGACUUCAGCCUCAUCCCAGGAUAGGUGACCACAAAAACAUAAGUGAACAGAAAAGCCUGCUAGAAGUCCAGCGACUCCAGAAAGAACUGAGCAGUUGUAUCCACAAAAUUGAAGAGGUAACUAAAAAAGAUAGACUAGAAGAAGCUUUGGAUCCAGAUGAAGAACGUCGAAUCCGUAUCAGGAGACAGGAGCAAGCUGCUCGCUCUGCCCGAAUGCUCUACGUCCUCCAGCAGCAGUUCUUAUUCUACACUGCUGCCGUAGAGAUUGCUCUAAAACAUGAAUCUUACCAUGUCAGACCUCUGCUUA
rnacentral:lncRNA from 10 species